GCAACCCUGCAUCUACAAAAAAUAUGAAUAUCCAGAGGUAUGAAAAUCUCAAAUAUUGGGAAAAUAUUUUUAAAUAAGCCCCUGUUUAAAGAAAAUAGUCCUGGUGCUUUUUGUCUUACUGCUUGCAGAAGCAUAUCUUAUAUUUUGUGCUACUUUCUAAAAAUUCACUUUUUAGAAGAGGCCAUUGGGUAAAUCCUGUUCCAAAGGGGCAGAACACACUCAAACUUGAGGAAAGUACUCAUCCAGCUGGAACCCAACAUUUCCAGAAGUAAAACAUGCACAUCACAGAAGCUCUUAAGGCUGCAGAGAAGCUUAAUCUUUUUUGUUCUGUCUUUAAGGUUCCAUGCAAUUUUCCCCUUCCUCAAGCUAACCACAGAAACUGUAAUGCUCUAUUUUUGAUAAUUAAACUAUUUCAAUGCCAAGUCACGACAGCCCCUAAAAACCAGCUCCCUUUACCAGAGCUCCACUUUAAAGCUCACUUUAAAUAAACUUACAGACUCCUCAAUACUCUAAAAGCUAGAUGAAGUUUCUCCAGCACUCUAAAUAUAUGACUUUUUAAAACAAGAUGAGAAAAGCAAGAGACUCUUACAAAGUAAGGCUUGCAUGCUAGACACACAAACCAGAAAUAAUCCAUUUACUCCCCCUCGACCUUUCUUGGCUAGACUAACUCAAUUAGUAUCCCUAAACCACCAGACACUUGCCAAGAUAACAUAUUUGUGUUUAAUCAUUCAAAAAGUGAAAUAUUAUGUACUGUAAUGUAACACUUCUUACGGAAACCUCCAGUUGAGCAACAGUUCCAGAAAAAAUUGUGAAAUGAAGUAAAAAGCUGCCCAGAACACCAUACUUCCACUCGGUUAAUUCAAAAAAAUUAAGUUUCAGAACUAGGCAGAAAGUCAAGACCUCAUUUUCAGCAAAGCAGAAGCGGCACAUUUUUAAACGCAGCCCGUUUGGAAUAACUCCGGAAUAGCAACCAUCACUGGGAAGUUACUGAAUACCAUCAUCCCCUGGCCAGCAACUUGUGCCACACGCAGACCUCAUGACAGAGCGACGACAAAAAUGCCAGGGCUAAUUUCCACAGCGCGUUGCAUCAACCCAGGCAGCAAACCCAGGAAGGAAUGUGUCAGGGACUACGAGAACGUUGCCAUUCCUUCUGUUUCUGUGUGAAAUGCAUUUCUAGCCACACCCAGAAAGAACUUGUCUCUCCAGACAGUACACACUGGGCACCGAUUUGCUUCCUCAAGAUUUCAGAGUGUGCAUCUGAGGACUUAGGCUGCGCGUCGCAAAGUUUCCCUCGGCAACUGCUAAAAUAAUUCACAAGGCACUGCAGCAUGGCAGCAGCUAUCAGCUUUGGAAGGCUUUGGAAUGUGCCCUUCUAUUAUUACAAAUACUGGCUGCAUCAGAUUGGGUCCUAACUGCUCAUCCAUCGAUUGGCUUAGGUAAGAGUGCCCUUGUUUAAAGCCUCAGAAACUGCUGAGGAACCAGCAAAACAGAGGAACAACAUUAAAUCUCAUGGUGAGUCACUGUGAAUGUAGGUCAGCCCAGGCUCUGCCCUUUGCUGAGCUCUCAGAGGGUUGGCUCCAGGUUACCUGAAAGAGCCCCAGCCCCAACAGACCCCCCACAAAAAAAAAAAAAGUUUGUGUUCCUCUGCUAUACAGCUUUGCCACUUCCAUGGGGAGUUUAGAGCAGAUGAACACUUUCUUAGCAACUGAGCCACAACCAAGAGCUGAGAAAGGACAGGAGAGAAAACACAAACCAAGUCACCUUGCAAGUAAAAUACACGACCUGUUUGUUUAACCCAAUUUGUGCCAAAUAACAUUAUAGAUCCACUCAAUCUCAGCCACUUGAGUCUCACAAUCAAUGUUCUAAGAGCAGAAGAGGAAGGGUGAUGUAUCUGCUCUGAUUCAUACCUGGAGGAGACCCUCUCCUGUAACAGUCAGGGGUUCUACAUAAUGAGGUAGGCAGAGAGAACUCUGAAUUGAUUAUUAAUUAAGCUGCUUGAUCACCUCCUUGGAAAAUGUAUGACCAAAUGUUGAUGCAUAGAAAGUAAUUUACAUAAUCAAGUCUGAAUUUGACAUAAUGCAGUACAAAACUACCUUAAUAAAUGGAAAUUUUAAAAAUCACACUCUGACUCUUGAUACAAAAAAAAGAGUACUUCCCAUGCAAAUAAUGAGAUGGGAGGAAAUGUCCUUGGCAAGUCAAUUUGUUCCAUGCUGCUGAUGGUUCCUGUUAGUGACAAGGAUUUUUUUUUCAAGAAGGAAACAAUGGAAAACAAAUGCAAAAGCAUUUACCAGAAGGCCAGGCAAUGGCAGCUUUUCCAAAAUGUCAAGUGUGCAGAAUAGAGUCAAUUUAAAAGAGAAUUAAUUAUUUAAACUGAAUUAAUGUGACUACAAUGAAGCCCUGUUAAACCAUCUCAUCCAUCCUGCUUCCAACUGUGCUACCCCUUACAGUCUAAGUCUAAAUACUGUGACCUCAAUUUUCAAGCACUUCAAACAAAAACUCUCUUACCCGGUCAUAGCACCAAUAUAUUGCUUUUUAAAUAUAUUUACUGCAUCUCUACCAGGAACUCACCCACAGAAUUGUGCUCACCUUCUCCACACUCCUAACUCAUACGAACUUGACCUCUGGUUCCCCUUUUUCCCUCUUCCUCUUUCAUCUUCAUACUUCUUGUGUUUUCCCAGAUGCUUCAGGCAGCUUCUAUCACUGCAUUCUUCAGAUCAUCCUUUGCCUGCAAGUCUUUCCAUACAGGCCUGGUGUCUUAAUUUCAACACUUUUUUGUUUCAUGCAUUGUCUUGUCCUUGCAUGCCUUUGGGGACAGGAAGGUGACUGAAUUUUAGGUCUCUAGCUUUCAUAUGGAAGCUCAUUUUCUCAAAGAAUGUCCACACCUACUUCCCUGGGAACCUACUGUCCCAAAAGUCUUCAGUUCCCCCUGGACUAUGGGCCAUGGUGUUGCAGUACACUGAAUAUCACCCCUAGAAGGGGUACUCUGUGCCACUCUCUGCAUUUUCCAGGUCAACACGAAUUUGCAAUGCAAUCAACAAUCUAAAGGUGCAAUAAUGGUUACCUAGUGCUCCUUUUCCUGAAUAAUGUUACAUGAAAUGUGGCAGACACCAACAGAGCCACUGUUCCUCUUUUGUAUCCCACAGGAAUAUCUAUAACCAUGACUACCAGUGAUAAGUCAAAACUGUCACUUUUGGUUUCCAGUUUCAAUAUAGGCAAAGGAACCAUUCCAAAUCCAUCCUUUUCUGCUACCCUUUAAAGCAAAACAUCUGGGCUAGAAUUUACAUAAAAUAAAUUCCUUUAUUCUAUUUCAUGGAGGAAAAGAACUCUUAUCUAAUAACUAAUGAACUUAAUUGCCCUGGGUCUUGACUGUAUUGGGAAUGCAUAUUAAUUUAAAUGCAUCAGUGUAAAAAUCAGUCUCAUUAAACUAUCUCAAAGCCCUAGAAUAGAUGGAGCACUGCAUUAACACUUGCAUGUAGUCAUUCAUAUUAAAGUUAUAAUUUACAGGAGCUCAUAAUGAAUAUAAACAGGAACUAAAACUGAGCUGAGGUGCAAUAAAAAGGAUUAGUGGCAGUGAUAUUUAAAUUGACAGUUAAAAACUCUUCUGGAGCACUUUCAAGGCCUUGGAGAAAUACAGUUGGUUGGAUAUACUAUUCUUUAUUUCAUGGUGUACUAGAAACAAUGUAUAAAACAUGAGCACACCGAGGCCAAAUGAACAUCUUCACUGCAGAAACGUAUUUCUUAAGUUAUUUUAUAAUUUAAAAUGUCAUCUUCGUGUCGUGCGAGGGGAACGACUGAUGUACAUACGGAAAAUUGUGAGCGAGUUCUUAGAAACCAUACUGUUUUCUUGAUCAUUCAUAGCCAAACACAUAAAGAUCCUUCAGCGUAUCACUACAGCACAGCUUGUACGAGAUCUCCAUAGCUACCCUUGGCACAACAAGCACAAAACCCAAGUGCCUUUGCAGGGCUGAUAAGCAGACAGGAAGCAAGGGAACAUCUGCUACAGCUUUAGAUGGUUUUGCCUUCAGUAACCACUGAAGCCCUGCAUUCCACGUCCUGCUCGCUUGGCCUUUGACACCACCAGCUGUUGGACAGGAGAUGUAAAAUGUUACACCUACAGAAAGGGAGGUGCAUUAUUUUCUAAAGGACCACUGGGAUAUUUAAUGGCAUUUUUUCUUUCCGUUCUCUGAUGACUGGAAACGCUGGAUAGCAGAAUCUGCAUAUGGAGUUACUUCCUGAAAGUCAACCACUUCCUAUUUAACAAUUUUUUUUUAUGUUCUGUUUUCCUUUCCAAACCUGCUUUGUUUUGUUUUGUUUUGUUCUGUUCUGUUUUAAACACCAAAAACAAUUGCCCCAUAUACUGAAUAGUAAUUAUAUUCAUCAUAAUCAUUGUAAGGAAGCCAUGUGCUUCCCUGGAUCAGGGCUGGGGCUUCCAGCCCAGGCAAUCUGUCUUCUUGGAGCAUAACAGCAUUUCUGUAGCAUGGACAGCCAAGGAACAGAGUUACACAAAAUAAAUAUCAAACAAUUUAGUGCAAACCCUUUGUUUAAAGAAAGAGCUAUUGAACAUGUUUUAUAAAGGAGCUUGGCCAAAUAAUGCAGAUUCUCUGCUCGUGUGUGUGUGGAGAAUCUGCUCCAGAUAGUUCAGCAGUUCUCCACCACCAUGGCAUUUCCAUUUGCAUGGAAAACUACUAACAGAGAACAACUGACAGCAGCAUAUUUUUAGGAUAUUGAGGCCCAUGCAUCUUUAUGUACUUCCUCUGAGAUUGUAAUUUUGUCUAGGAGAUUGCAACAGUUGUGACGAAAUCGGAUUUAGCCAUGUAUGGUAGAUCCUAUGGCUCUGACACAAUGAGAGGAAAAGGGGCUCAGAGUAACAACAAGAAAGAGGAAGACACUACUCCAGAAUUAUGUAAAUGUAACUGAGAAGAGAAUUUUUCCCAGAAAUUCUGUAUUCUGUGCUUUGUAGUUCUAUACAUUUUUUUAAUAUGUUCUAUUCUUAAACUGCAGAUGGAUGUUGUUUUGCCAGAAAAUAAAUGAAACACAAAGCUGACUUCAAAUAUUUGGACCAGUCAUGUUGCCACUCAAAAUGCAGAAGCAUCUGUCAUAUCACUGUCCUAGUGAGAUCAUAAAAGCAGAGAGAGAAUGAUCAAAGAAGAAAAUACAGGACUCUUACUCCAUUCCUAAUACACGCUAUUUCUCUUUUUAGGACCAGGAGCCUAUGUGGCACAGAGAUAUUCCCACAGUCUACAAAUACAAUAGCUCAGUACCUGAGCCUGGCUCCAGAGCAGAGGGGCUCCAGCCUUUGCAGCAUCUCCGUGGCCUCCUCUGGACUUGCUCCAGCAGCUCCAAAUCCUUCUGCUGUUGUUCCCCAGGGCCGGAGGAAGCUCUGCAGGUGGGGUCUCACCUGAGUGGGGCAGAAGGCCAGAAUCCCCUCUUGCCUGCAGACCUCACUGUGGGAUGAACCCAGGAUAUGGAGCCUUUCUGGGCUGCUCUCUAUGCUUUUUAUGUUCUGCAUUUCACAGGGAACGGAAUUUUUUAAACUAUAUUAAUAUUACAAUAAUUAAAUAGCUGUCUUGAACUGUGUGCACAUUGCAUUUAGCCAGCUUGAAAGCAAGCCAAAACUUGAAGCAAUUUUUAAAAGAAUUGUAGAAUCAAUACAUCAAUUCCCAUUAAUUUGGUGUCAGAGGAAACAAAUGUGUACCUGUCUGAAACGUGUGCAUUCCCUGCAGAGAAGUACUAAAAUAGGCAUCUUCUGUCUCCCUGCCUUCCCUGUGCCCUCCAAACAUCAGAAACCAGGGUCAGAAUGAGGGAAAACCAGACUGGCUGCAAAAUACAGUGAAACCACUUUUAUUAACCCAGUAUUCAGGACAAAUUAUGCACCAACUGUGCCACAUCAAAGCCAUCCCAAGCUCUACCCCACCCGCUGCACUGAGUUCCUUGUUUCUCCCGUGAUGCUCCAGUCCCUCCAAAAUACAUUUCCUUUGCAGGGCUGGGAAUAUCUGGGCUAGCUGAGGUGAAACUCCAUUCAGUCUGCACAGCCAUAAGCUGUCAUUCUGCACAGCAGUGGGACAAUAUUAGUGAUGAAUCCCAACUGAGAGUGCAUUUUUAACCAGCCAAAGUUCUGGAUCAGUCCAAGCUCCCUAAAAUAUGCUGUGCUGCAUGCAAGCAUCUUGCACAUCUUGCUCACUGCACAGCUGGCUGCUGAGCAAAUUCUUGUCUCGGGAGGUAUGCUCAAGCACAUGAAACAUAUUUUUAGCAUCCCAUAGGUGUGAGUACUCCCAGAGCUGAGAGUGCAACCUGGCUGACAGCAGGUUUCCAGAGGAGGGAGUAGGAAAGAGGCAAUGGAUGAUGAGAUUACCCCCCACAGAAGGAGACUUCUGCUUGGAAUAUCAACACAUCUUUUCAGUCUCUCAUUGUGGCUGUUUGUGCUUUCAUCAGAUUUUCCAUUUGCUCCUUCAGCUACGGGACCAGAUGGCUGCCACACAUUAUGCUCUGAAUCAUGGCAAGGCUCGAGGUGUUUGUUGUGUGUCACAGCAAACACAGGUGCUGGAGCAGGUUAAACUCCCUCACCAUGGUGCACCCUGCUCAGGGGUGGGACUGCAGCAGGUACCUACAGAUACACUCUGGGCAAGAUCUGAGCAUCCUUUUCUUCUUGCAGGAGAAUGACUGCCAUACCUUGAGCACAGAUAGCAGGGAGAGAGGCAGAGCAGUGACACAUGGCAGAGGACAGAUGCUCCACACUUCCCGUGAUGCACAAUGCCUGAUGGCAAGGAGUCCUGAUGGGCCAAGGACAGGAGGCUGUUGUUCCCCCUCUGAUUUCCCCUUGCAGUUUGUGAUUAAACUGGUGCUGACACCUUGCCCAGUGCCUGUUUGCAGAGCCAAUAGCCCUGGGCAGGACUUCUGGCCAUGAAGCACCUACUGGAAAAAGAGACAAUCUCAUUGUUUUAGAGCAUCUCUGCCUCUGGCAUUUGUUAAAUAGAAAACAAAACUGAUUUUCUCCUCACUUUGCAUAGAUCUGGGGUAGAUCCAAGCUGUGGCAGCCCUGUGAAAUGAGAGUGAACAGGAGGGGUGUUUGCAAAUGCAAUGGCCCCUAUUUAGGAAGGGCAAGACUGGGAGGAUUACACAGAAUGUGAUUUGUGCUUCAGUUACAAGGCCAUAAAAAUCACCCUGCAGUUCUCUCUCACUGAAAUACUGCAUUUCUGAGCAUGAGAACCACUGGAAUAAUGUUCUUCAAUAUGUUUUUUCAAUAUCUAGGCGAUAUCUGGGGCUCAGUGUAAGUUACAAAUCUGGAGACAGAGAUGUCCUGGAUAGCACAAUUGAUAUGGUGAGUGUGCUGCAGGUCACACCACGGAGGAGCAGCCAACAGCUGGGGACUGUCCAGUGGCCACACUCCACCCCAAGUAUUUUCUGAGAUGAGAAAAUUCCCCUUUGGCUGUUUUUCAGCUUGCUUUUCUUGCUGUGUAUUUCCAUGCCCCCCGUGUUGGAAGUGACAGGGCACCUUGUGUGCUGUGCUGGCCUUUGCUGACAGGCGCUGGCAAUCAGGGAACACUCAUCAGGGACAGGGACAGUGACCAGGAAUGUCACAACCACAGCCUGUGCAGAGCAGCUCCCAUGAAGGUUAACGCGUGUCGCCGCCACCUUUGAGGUCAGUGUUGGCCUCGCUUUAACAGUCCUAUAAAUAGAUGCCCAAGGUUGACUGAAAAGAGGAUUUGGCUCGGCUGGAUCUCGUUUAGCAUUCCCAGGAGAGGAAGGCAGAUUCUUUUCCCUUUUUCUCUUCCAGCCUGUAACCUUGAGUUGGUCUCUGUGGGGAACAUUAGUGGCAUUUGCCAAAAGCACUGCUGCUGUGAGCCGGAUGUCCUGCUGGGUCACACAAACCACACGUCUCCUCAACCUGCAAACCCAGACCUAAUUCCACUAAAGCCUCAAACUAAUUCCUCACUGGCAAAACUAGGGGAAAACCCAAACAAACCUUAAGCCUAAUUGCUUGAAAACAGUAGGACACCUAGUGGAUUUAUAGGGAAUAUCUUUGGGAUUAUCAGCAGCAUUUUGCCAUUUUCUUGGCAAAACCAGCUGUGAAUAUAUUUAUAGAGGAAUCACUGAAAUAUCAGGUUUUCUAUUUAAUAAAUUAAUCUUGCUAUAGCUGUUACAGCCUCCAGUUUGCCUGAAGACAUUAUUGCAACCUAUAGAAAACCCAAAGAACAUUGUUCGAAUGACUUGAAAAAAAAUAAUGAUGGAAAACUGGAUGGUUCCCAAGGUCUGGGAACAGGAGCAAGGAUAUUCUGCCAGAUCAAAGCCAUCCCAGUUGCUCCAUCUGACAGCUCUCUAAUGACCUUAAUGAGCGAAGUUUUACUGCCUCAGCCUGGCUCCCAGCACGGCCGUGCAGCUCCACAACAACGUGGCCAUGCUGAGCACAGCCAGCCGGCCCCGCCGCUUGUUUCUGCAGAGAAUGACUUGGCCACAGAACCCAAAGAGCUUCUUCAUUCCCCAGGGCUGAUCUUUUGUAUCCAAACCAGAAGAUGAUGGGCCACGUGAUAACGCCUGCGCUGCUGUCGCUGCAUUUGCCUGGUACCAACUCCAACAUCAAGCAAAUUUUGACCCUAGAUAGGGAAUAAACCCCUCUGGCAGGGUGUGUAAGAGGAAGAAGAUUUUGAGUGAUGAAUCUAUGAAAUUAUAUCUUGGCCAGCAAUUAUCCUGGGGCUGCCAGGCUUAUCUUGUUGGUGUCUCUGGAGGCAACAGACACAAAGAGAUGAGUGAUGAGUCCAAAAUGGAUUCAGGAAACUGAUGACUUCAUUUUGACAGUCAUCACAAGGAACACCAAGUCAUUGAGUCUUGCACUCAAUUCCUGUUCCCAAAACACACUGAAAACUUUCCUUCCUUUCUGCUUAACAUAAUAUUGUCCUAGUGAAAAAAGUCUGCAGAAGAUGGUUAAUUUUUCUGUUCCAUUCCUACUCUUCCUGCAGUGCUGCAGGGAUUCCUAAGAACAGAAAAAACAGAAUGAGAUUUGAUUUUGGAUAAAAAAUCUGUUCAGAUGCAGGUCUUUUUUUUUUUUUUUAAUUCAAGGUUAAGAAAGGAAAGGCUAAUUUAGAUAUUAAUUUUUAUUUGGUCUAUGUCUUCUUAUACCUUUUCUUCUUAGAGCUGUAGAAAUCAGAAAGGAUGUAGCACAUGAUAGAAUGCAAAUGAGUUAUCAACAGAAAAAUUCAUAUUAACUCCAUGUAUUUUCAUUAUUCCUACCUGUGGCAUAGAAUUACUUGAAAAAUAGAAUCUGUGUACAUUGUAGACCAUUUCAAUUGGUCUAGGGUUUUAAAACAGAUUUUUUUUUUUAAUUUCAGUGCAUGGAUUUUAUAUUUGAAUGGGUUUUUUUCUGACAGACAUGUCAAACUGGGGAUAGUGCGUGCUAAGAGUACGCUUUUCUCUAAUUUAGCAGCUGGAUUGGAAAGCUUGAAUUAUCUCUGCAUAAUUGCAAUGAUUAAUGGAUUGUUAGGAAAUUGCAAAGUAUUGAUUGAAUUUUCCCCUUAGGAAAUAUUUCUCCUCUGAUAAAACACAGUUCUGGGGC